rnacentral:rRNA from 1 species
UUGUUGGCGGGGUAACGGCCCACCAAGGCAACGAUCAGUAGGGGUUCUGAGAGGAAGGUCCCCCACAUUGGAACUGAGACACGGUCCAAACUCCUACGGGAGGCAGCAGUGAGGAAUAUUGGUCAAUGGGCGGAAGCCUGAACCAGCCAAGUAGCGUGCAGGAUGACGGCCCUAUGGGUUGUAAACUGCUUUUAUACAGGAAUAAAGUUAGCCACGUGUGGUUAUUUGUAGGUACUGUAUGAAUAAGGACCGGCUAAUUCCGUGCCAGCAGCCGCGGUAAUACGGAAGGUCCAGGCGUUAUCCGGAUUUAUUGGGUUUAAAGGGAGCGUAGGCCGUCUGUUAAGCGUGUUGUGAAAUGUAGAUGCUCAACAUCUGAAUUGCAGCGCGAACUGGCAGACUUGAGUGUGCGCAACGUAGGCGGAAUUCGUGGUGUAGCGGUGAAAUGCUUAGAUAUCACGAAGAACUCCGAUUGCGAAGGCAGCUUACGGGAGCACAACUGACGCUGAAGCUCGAAAGUGCGGGUAUCGAACAGGAUUAGAUACCCUGGUAGUCCGCACGGUAAACGAUG